AGAUUGAACGCUGGCGGCAGGCCUAACACAUGCAAGUCGAGCGGCAGCACGGGUACUUGUACCUGGUGGCGAGCGGCGGACGGGUGAGUAAUGCCUAGGAAUCUGCCUGAUAGUGGGGGAUAACGUUCGGAAACGGACGCUAAUACCGCAUACGUCCUACGGGAGAAAGCAGGGGACCUUCGGGCCUUGCGCUAUCAGAUGAGCCUAGGUCGGAUUAGCUAGUUGGUGAGGUAAUGGCUCACCAAGGCGACGAUCCGUAACUGGUCUGAGAGGAUGAUCAGUCACGCUGGAACUGAGACACGGUCCAGACUCCUACGGGAGCAGCAGUGGGGAAUAUUGGACAAUGGGACGAAAGCCUAGAUCCAGCCAGUCGACCGCGUGUGUGAAGAAGGUCUCGGAUUGUAAAGCUACUUUAAGGUUGGAAGGAAGGCAGUUAACCUAUACGUAUC
rnacentral:rRNA from 1 species